rnacentral:rRNA from 1 species
GGAUUCCCCUAGUAACGGCGAGUGAAGCGGGAAGAGCUCAAAUUUGUAAUCUGGCACCUUCGGUGUCCGAGUUGUAAUCUCGAGAAGUGUUUUCCGCGCCGGACCGCAUACAAGUCUGUUGGAAUACAGCGUCAUAGUGGUGAGAACCCCGUAACUGAUGCGGAUGCCCGGUGCUUUGUGAUACACUUUCGAAGAGUCGAGUUGUUUGGGAAUGCAGCUCAAAUUGGGUGGUAAAUUCCAUCUAAAGCUAAAUAUUGGCGAGAGACCGAUAGCGAACAAGUACCGUGAGGGAAAGAUGAAAAGCACUUUGGAAAGAGAGUUAACAGUACGUGAAAUUGUUGGAAGGGAAACGCUUGAAGUCAGACUUGCUAUUUGGAAUUCAGCCGCAAGGUGUACUUUUCAAUUCGCAGGCCAGCAUCAGUUUUCGGGGGUGGAAAAGGGUAGAGAGAAGGUAGCAAUUUCGGUUGUGUUAUAGCUCUUUGCUGGAUUCAUCCUUGGGGACUGAGGAACGCAGCACGCUUUUUGCAAGGCUCUCGAGCUUUUCGUGCUUAGGAUGCUGGUGGAAUGGCUUUAAACGACCCGUCUUGAAACACGGAAC